UAAACUAUAAUAGGAUAUUAAAUAAAUAUUUCCCGAAUUAAAUAGGACCUAACUAUUAGUAUAUAAUAAAUAUUAGCUUAAAAAUGAGUGUUUACUGUGGCAUAAGUAACUUUAAACUAUUAGUUAGUGAUGAAAAGUCAUUCAAUUUUUAGGAUAGCUGGAUGGAAGACAAAAAUAUUUAGUAUUUAAUUCAAACUUAAGGUUAUAAGGUCUUAAGUUAUAAAUAUAUUAUUUAAUAGAGUUUUCUUUAAUUUAAUAAUUUUCAGGGUAAUGUUUUUAAAAUGUUAUAAUUAUAUUAUAUUAUGCUAUUUUAUAGACUAUCUUUCCAAAACAACAAUAGAAUUUUUUUGUCAUUUAUAUAAUGUUUAAAUUAGUAUAUAAAGUAAAAUUCAAUAAAAAGAAACUCGGCAAACAUAAUUCUCUUAACUGUUUAACAAAAACAUAGCCUAAAGAGAGUUAUUAAUUUUAGGUGAUCCCUGCCCACUGAUACAAAUUUAAAUGGCCGCAGUACUUUGACUGUGCUAAGGUAGCAUAAUAAUUUGUCUUUUAAUUGGAGUCUGGAAUGAAAGGGUUUAUACAGAGAUACCUGUCUCUUUUUGAGUUUAUUUAAAUUAUUUAAUGAGUGAAAAUGCUCAUAAUUUAAAAGAAAGACGAGAAGACCCUUAGAAUUUUGCUAAUAAAUUAAUACAUUGAAUAUUAAAUUUUAGUUUGGUUGGGGCAACCGAUAUACAUGUAAACUAUAUUUUAGUUUAAAUUAUAAUAUAAUUAUAUUAAUAAAAUUUAAAUAAAUUACCUAAGGGAUAACAGCAUAAUUAACUUAUUAUUUGUGACCUCUAUGUUGGACUAGGUAAAUAGUGGUAACCAUUACUUAUUUGUCUGUCGACUGCUCAUACCUACAUGAUCUGAGUUCAGACCGGCGGAGCAG
rnacentral:rRNA from 1 species